rnacentral:rRNA from 1 species
GUCAGCAGCCAUGUCACCCUGUAACUUACAACUGGCAACCCACUGAAGCUAAGUAGGUGUGAGCCUGGUUAGUACCUGGAUGGGAGACCUCCUGGGGAAAAACUAAGGUUGCUGCUGGAA